ACGGCCGUACCAUGCUGAAUAUACCGGUUCUCGUUAGAUCACCGAAGUCAAGCAUCAUUGGGCGCGGUCAGUACUUGGGUGGGUGACCACCUGGGAAAAC